rfam:Drosophila ambigua retrotransposon R2 reverse transcriptase gene, partial cds.
ACCUAGCCGAAACACUAUGUUGGAAAGAAGACGCUUGCUACCUAGGCAUAAUGUAAAAUUAGGUAUAAACAUCGCAGUUGUAAACUUGAGGUGGUUUAGUACGUAGGCGUGAUGAUGACUUGUUGAAGUGAAACCACGAAUCGUGCUCGCUAUUACGUUGGCCCUUAAUAGUAUCUAUGAAGAUUUCCCAUCCUCAGCGGUC